GAUGAACGCUGGCGGCGUGCCUAAUACAUGCAAGUCGAGCGAACAGACGAGAAUCUUGCUUCUCUGAUGUUAGCGGCGGACGGGUGAGUAACACGUGUAUAACCUACCUAUAAGACUGGGAUAACUUCGGGAAACCGUAGCUAAUACCGGAUAAUCUUUUGAACCGCAGGGUUCAAAAGUGAAAGACGGUCGUGCUGGCACGUAUAGAUGGAUCCGCGCUGCAUUAGCUAGUUGGUAAGGUAACGGCUUACCAAGGCAAGGAUGCAUAGCCGACCUGAGAGGGUGAUCGGCCACACUGGAACUGAGACACGCUCCAGACUCCUACGGGAGGCAGCAGUCGCGAAUCUUACGCAAUGGGCGAGAGCAUGACGGAGCAACGCCGCGUGAGUGAUGAAGGUCUUCCGAUCGUAAAACUCUGUUAUUAGGGAAGAACAUAUGUGUCAGUAACUGUGCACAUCUUGACGGUACCUAAUAAGAAAGCAACGGCUAACUACGUG
rnacentral:rRNA from 1 species